rnacentral:rRNA from 1 species
AGAGUUUGAUCCUGGCUCAGGAUGAACGCUAGCGGCAGGCUUAACACAUGCAAGUCGAGGGGCAGCGGGUCCAGCAAUGGAUGCCGGCGACCGGCGAAAGGGUGAGUAACGCGUGAGCAACAUGCCCGACACUGGGGGAUAGUCGAUGGAAACGUCGCGUAAUACCCCGUAACACAUUUGACCGCAUGGUCUUAUGUUGAAAGAUUCAUUGGUGUCGGAUUGGCUCGCGUGCCAUUAGGUAGACGGCGGGGUAACGGCCCACCGUGCCGACGAUGGCUAGGGGUUCUGAGAGGAAGGUCCCCCACAUUGGAACUGAGACACGGUCCAGACUCCUACGGGAGGCAGCAGUGAGGAAUAUUGGACAAUGGCCGGAAGGCUGAUCCAGCCAUGCCGCGUGCGGGAAGACGGCCCUAUGGGUUGUAAACCGCUUUUGCGGGGGAGCAAUAAGGUGUACGCGUACACCGAUGAGAGUACCCUGCGAAUAAGCAUCGGCUAACUCCGUGCCAGCAGCCGCGGUAAUACGGAGGAUGCAAGCGUUAUCCGGAUUUAUUGGGUUUAAAGGGUGCGCAGGCGGCUUGUUAAGCGGGAGGUGAAAUGCCGGCGCUCAACGUCGGAAGUGCCUCCCGAACUGGUGAGCUUGAAUGACUCUGCCGUGGGAGGAAUGUGUAGUGUAGCGGUGAAAUGCUUAGAUAUCACGAAGAACUCCGAUUGCGAAGGCAGCCCGCUGUCGCGUGACUGACGCUGAGGCUCGAAGGUGCGGGUAUCGAACAGGAUUAGAUACCCUGGUAGUCCGCACUGUAAACGAUGGACACCCGCUGUGUGGCCUGUUAUGGUUGCGCGGCCAAGCGAAAGCAUUAAGUGUCCCACCUGGGGAGUACGCCGGCAACGGUGAAACUCAAAGGAAUUGACGGGGGCCCGCACAAGCGGAGGAACAUGUGGUUUAAUUCGAUGAUACGCGAGGAACCUUACCCGGGCUUGAACUGCCAGCGAACGAUACAGAGAUGUUGAGGCCCUUCGGGGCGCUGGUGGAGGUGCUGCAUGGUUGUCGUCAGCUCGUGCCGUGAGGUGUCGGCUUAAGUGCCAUAACGAGCGCAACCCCUGCCUUCAGUUGCCAUCGGUUUUGGCCGGGCACUCUGGAGGGACUGCCACCGCAAGGUGCGAGGAAGGUGGGGAUGACGUCAAAUCAGCACGGCCCUUACGUCCGGGGCUACACACGUGUUACAAUGGGGGGUACAGCGAGUCGGCGGCCGGCAACGUCCGUCCAAUCAAGAAAGCCCCCCUCAGUUCGGAUUGGGGUCUGCAACCCGACCCCAUGAAGCUGGAUUCGCUAGUAAUCGCGCAUCAGCCAUGGCGCGGUGAAUACGUUCCCGGGCCUUGUACACACCGCCCGUCAAGCCAUGAAAGCCUGGGGCGCCUGAAGUCCGUGACCGCGAGGGUCGGCCUAGGGUGAAACAGGUGAUUGGGGCUAAGUCGUAACAAGGUA